AGACUUUGGUAACAGGAAUAAUCGCCGAAUUUGGGUCUUAGCUUUGACAAAACAUCGUUGAUGGACCUAAUAACUUACUAACUGGCUCUGGCUGAGUGCCCCAUGGAGCUUCAUUUAAUUACCACAGAAUGACAAUUUAAACUGCAGAAGAAGGCCAUUUUGAGAUGUUUGCGAAGAAACUUCUGAGGAUGUCCCUUUACAGAGCAGCAGGAGAUUUGCUCUCUGUGUCAGCCCUUGCAUCUCUGUACUGGAGAGACUAAAUGGAGAUCCACAAGCUGAAAAGCCUGCAAGCUACCUGGUGAUUACCACAGAGGGGAUUUCGAUCAGCAUGGUGAGAGGAGUGAUUGCAUUUCCUCCGCAUCCGUUCAGUCUUCCCUUUGGCUUUUGAGAUCUACAGAGGAUUGAAAGGCAAGUGAAGUGAUGGGUUCGCUGACUCAGCCCUUUGGGUACCUCUUUACUUUGGAUAGA
rnacentral:lncRNA from 1 species